UGGCGUGUUUAAAUAUUUUUACAAGAGUGCUAUAUGCCAUUCUGUUUGUAUUUUUCUAGCAUAGAGAUAUAAACAUUUCAGAAGACAAUGAAAUGACGUGAAAUGCAAAUGGAAUAUUUCUAAUGAACAGAUUCCACCCACAGGAACACUAGAUUAAAUCAGGAGGAAUGCCACCGAAAAAAAGCAUAGUGAAGAGAAGGAACAGCACAUCUUGAAAGAGAAAGUGCAUCUGGCUCAGUAAUUUCUUGCACGCUGUUUGCAAAUGCAACCAGUUCUGGGGUAGAACAAGGCAGUAGUUCAACAGUACUCACAUACAACUAAGCAAGUUGUGCAUGGCAAUAAUUCCUUGAUUUUACUUAUGACAAACAGUAAUUAGCUCAUGGUUAUGUAAAUAUAUUCUUAUCCAGGUAA